AACGAACGCUGGCGGCAGGCCUAACACAUGCAAGUCGAGCGCACCGCAAGGUGAGCGGCGGACGGGUGAGUAACGCGUGGGAACGUACCUUUUGCUUCGGAAUAGCCUCGGGAAACUGAGAGUAAUACCGGAUGUGCCCUUUGGGGGAAAGAUUUAUCGGCAAAGGAUCGGCCCGCGUUGGAUUAGGUAGUUGGUGGGGUAAUGGCCUACCAAGCCUACGAUCCAUAGCUGGUUUGAGAGGAUGAUCAGCCACACUGGGACUGAGACACGGCCCAGACUCCUACGGGAGGCAGCAGUGGGGAAUCUUAGACAAUGGGGGCAACCCUGAUCUAGCCAUGCCGCGUGAGUGAUGAAGGCCUUAGGGUUGUAAAGCUCUUUCAGCUGGGAAGAUAAUGACGGUACCAGCAGAAGAAGCCCCGGCUAACUCCGUGCCAGCCGCCGCCGUAACAC
rnacentral:rRNA from 1 species